AGAUAACUGAGCCUUGAAGGAGAAAUCCCUCAAGUGGAAGCUCUCAAACUCAGGGAAACCUAAAUCUGGUUACAGACAUGGCAAUCCUGAGCCAAGCCCAAAAAUUUGAGAUUUGCGAUUUGAGAUUUGCGAUUAAUCUUCAAUCUAAAAUCCAAAAUUGAGGGAAGGUGCAGAGACCCGACGGGAGCUACCCUAACGUUAAGUCGAGGGUAAAGGGAGAGUCCAAUUCUCAAAAUCUGAGCUGGCUAUUGUCAUCAGGUAGCAGUGAAAACUGCGGGAGAAUGAAAAUCCGU
rnacentral:ncRNA from 1 species